rnacentral:rRNA from 1 species
GAUGAACGCUAGCGGCAGGCUUAAUACAUGCAAGUUGAGGGGCAGCAUGAUAUACGCGAGUAUAUUGAUGGCGACCGGCGGACGGGUGAGUAAUAGGUAGGAGACCUACCUCAUACAGGGGGAUAGCAUAGAGAAAUCUGUGGUAAUACCCCAUGAGGUUAUAUGAAUAGAGGCAUAUAAUCAAAGCAUAAGCGAUUAUGCGGUAUGAGAGGGGCCUACUGACCAUUAGCUAGUUGGUGAGGUAAGGGCUCACCAAGGCGAAGAUGGUUAGGGGUUUUGAGAGAGAGACCCCCCACAUUGGAACUGAGAGACGGUCCAGACUCCUACGGGAGGCAGCAGUAGGGAAUAUUGGGCAAUGGGCGAAAGCCUGACCCAGCCAUGCCGCGUGAAGGAAGACGGCCUUAUGGGUUGUAAACUUCUUUACUACGCGAAUAGAGGUUAGUACGAGAUACUAAUAGGAAGGUAGUGUAGUAAAAAGCACCGGCUAACUCCGUG